UUGCAGACCAAUCAGCAAGAAUGUAGAGCUAAUGAGGUCCUUUACUUGAUGAUCUCACACAGAGAGUGUCUGACUGCUUUCUGUUCUCUGCUAGAGGAGGGGAGAGAACCACCUCAGAAGGCAUAGAAGACUCUGCCCCUGCCCAUUUGGGAUGCUGAGGCAGGUGGAUUACCUGAGGUCAGGAGUUUGAGACCAGCCUGACCAACACGAUGAAACUCCACCUCUACUAAAUAUACAAAAAUUAGCCAGGCAUAGUGGUGGGCUCCUGUAAUCCUAGCAAUUUGGGAGGCUGAGGUGGGAAAAUUGCUUGAACCUGGGAAGCAGAGGUUGCAGUGAGCCGAGAUUGCUCCAUUGCACUCAAGCCUGGGCAACAAGAGUGAAACUAAGUCUCAAAAAAAAAAAAGAAGAUUCUGCACCGAGGAGUGUUUUUACCUUCUGAACCAGUUAUCCAGAGAGACCAAACGGCUUUAGUCACAGCAAAUCUGAGGACUUCUAGGUGCCCUCCUGAGUGCCCAGAACCAUAAAGAAUAGAAAGGUCAAGAGAAGAAUGCAUUUGCCAGACCAAUAGCUGCAUAUCAAGUGCCAGAGGAUGUGGUAAAUUGCUCAAGCAAUGAAACCGGUUCUGGUACCGGAGCUGCAAUUGGCAUCACCACCUGGGACUUUGCCAACAAUGUUGAACAGAGUGGUCUAAAGGAUGGGCUUUUGCCAUGUCACUCAGGCUGGUCUCAAACUCUUGGACUUAAGUUACCCACUUGUCUUAGCCCCCCAAAGCACUGGAAUUAG
rnacentral:lncRNA from 13 species